rnacentral:rRNA from 1 species
GUGCCAGCCGCCGCGGUAAUACGAAGGGGGCUAGCGUUGUUCGGAUUUACUGGGCGUAAAGGGCGCGUAGGCGGUGCAAUAAGUCAGGCGUGAAAGCCCCGGGCUCAACCCGGGAAUUGCGCUUGAUACUGUUGCGCUUGAAUCCAGGAGAGGAUGGCGGAAUUCCCAGUGUAGAGGUGAAAUUCGUAGAUAUUGGGAAGAACACCAGUGGCGAAGGCGGCCAUCUGGCCUGGAAUUGACGCUGAGGCGCGAAAGCGUGGGGAGCAAACAGGAUUAGAUACCCUGGUAGUCC